UCGAUGCCAGCCUGGGCUACAUAGUUCAGGCCAGCCUGGAUGACAGGGUGAGACCUUGUGAGACUCCAGGGUGAGACUCCUCUCCCCCCACAAAAAGAGAAAGAAACGUUUCCCCUUGGAAUUCAGGAGGACACGAGACAGAUUCCAUCAUGAAGUUUCUGUCGCUGUGUCUAAUGCUGCCACCACCACCAUCCCGUCCUCAUUUCCACCCUUCUACCCUUUCUUCCUGAGUUGCAGCAGGUAGGAAGAGCAGCACAACCAUUCUCAGCCCCUACAGCCUGGUCUUCGGGAUGCACUCCUGGGGACAUGGAAAGGAAGCCCAGGUGGGAAUGUUUGCAUUUCUGACAGCCCAGGGCCUGGGCAGUAGAUUCUAGGGGCACGGAAGGAUACCUGCUCCCUGGAGAGUGGCAUAGCAGGUGGGUAUGGCUGGUGAGCCAGCAGAAGCAGCAGCUCUUCCAUCCCAGACGGGCCUGGAAUCUCUGUCUUCCUCGUGCUAAGAGGCAGUUGCCUCCAUUCCAUGGUGGGGCUGGAGGUGGCAUUCUGUCUGAGCCUGCUUAACUCUCUGCAAAUGGUGCUGUCAUCUCUAACAAGUUGUCUUCUGCAGAACUAGCCAGCUCGGACUGUCCUCUAAGGAAACUCUGAUACCCUGAUGGGGUACCCACACCCUAGAGUUGGCCAGCAGGGGGCACCAGCACACCCUCACCUCACACACAGUGCUGAUUCUCAACAUUGGUAACAUGGGCUUGCAGUGUGGGGUGAACAGUGGCCUUCGACACAUAGUCAAAGAGUCAACCAAAGUUUUUCUUUAAAAAACUCAUAUGAUAUUUUUUACUUGGAAUAUAUACUAAAUUUGAAUUCUAAUAACAAUGAAGAGAUCAAAUCAGACAUAAAGGAAUGGGAGAAAGAAUAAGGUAUAGGAAAUUGGCAUAGAAGCCAGCUUCCCUGAAUACACUUUACUUUGUAGAUUUGACUUUGGAAUCAUAGAAAUAGUUGACAUAGUUACAACAAAUUAAGUCAAAAUUUAAAAACAGAAUCCUAAAAUGUCAAAAGCAAAAUCAAACAAAUGUACCUAAUUUUGUAUCAUAUUAGUGACUUAGCCAUGCAGAUGGGAAUAAUUUAUGAUAGCUUCAAAGCAUGAUAAUUUACGUGUACAUUCCUAGUGAGAUAUAUUCCAAAGCAAAAAGAACUGAAAAAAAGACUUAAAUGUUUCAUUUUUCUUAUUUCUAGUCAUAACAUUGCCGCUGCACUUCUGAUGCUAUAUCAUAAGCUAAAAAGGAUUAAGUUCACAUCUUUGAGAAUCAAGAUUUCUAACCUCAAAAAGAGAUACAAAUAUAAAAUGGAAGAAAUUAGUGAAAUGUAAUUCUAAAGUCAUUGGCAUCACCAGCAUGGACUCAAGAUGUAUUUUCGCUUAAACAAGGGAAGAGAAAGCAACAGUGACCCCAAACACCUGAGGACCUGUGGGCACUGGUUUUGCUCUACACAGCCCUGGGGGACCACGCCUGCCUGCACUAGGCUUCCUCUCCAGUCCUCUUUCCUCUUCUGCCCAGGAAUAGGAUGGCUGGGCCCUAUGAAAGUGUGUGCAAAACUUUCUAAGAUCCUGCGGAACUGUUUUCCAAAAUUAGUAAAUCAUUAUGCUUUCCUGCCAGCACUGCACAAAGCCCAGCUGUGAACGGCUCUAACAAACAACAAACAAACAAGUCCCCCGGACAAAAAAGUACCAAGAGUUGGGACCCAUGUGGAGUAUUUGGAGUCUUCACAUUCUGCUAGUGAGAAUGUGAAAUGGUGCAGCCCCUGUGUGUGACAGGUCCUGCAAGUUAAGUUGCUCCUGCCUAGCACUGGAAUGAUCUAGAAUCUGAGUAUUUGCAUUUUUCAUUUGGAAAGACCUUUAGAAUUCUUUCCUUAGGGUAGGAUGUUUAUACUUGUGAGCAUUACAUGAAAGAAUUGAAAAGAAGUGUUCAAACAAAAACAUGCACAUGAAUAUUCAUUACACAAAUCACUGCUUACAAAAACUACCCAUAUGCUCAUGGAUGCAUGAAUGGAUGAACAAAAUGUGCUACAGCCAUACAGUGGAAUAUUACUCAGCCACCAGAGGAGUGAGGCCCUGACAUGCUGACAUGGAUGAACCUUGAAAAACACAGGUUCUGUGAAAGAAGACAGAAACCAAGGCCACAUGCUUGUAUGGUUCCAUUUAUAUGAAAUAUCCAGAAUAGGCCAAUCUGGAGGGACAGAAAGCAGAUUAGUGGCUGCCAGCUGUCGGAAGGAGUGUAUUAAUUGUGUCUCCUAUUUUCUGUAUUUCAUGAUGCUGUAACCUCUUGAUGCAAUGCAGACCCAGGAAGAGCCCUUGGGGGACCUGGCUACUUCCUGGAGAUCUCAAGACUCUCCCAAGCAUGGGCCUUGAUGUGUGAACCAACUGCAAGCCCACUUAUCUUAGCAGCACCCCACAGCCCAGAGCACUAAACCAGGACCCCUGUAAGAGCCUAGAGCCUGCUGAAAGCGCUCACACUAUCAGAGUCCUAAUCUGAUCAUUGGUGCGCCUCCCCUCGACCUGCCCAUCCCCGAAAACCAUGCAAGCUUUCUUCUGCUUCUGAUCCCCCACCUCCGCACCUCCCUGAGUGGCCCAGCCAGGUCUGGGCCUCCUGAAUUUAGGGGCCUGGGACCAUAAAGCCUCUUCCAUCAUGAUGGUCCUGUCCAUGCUUGUGUGUCUUCCUGCUCCUGAUUAAAAGAGAUCUGGGAUAUGCUUUGAAACAGGACAAAGUUCAGUGUGCAUGGCUUCCACAUGGGGUGAGAAAAGUGCUCUGGAACUGGAUAGAGAUGUGGUUGUACAACACAGUGAGUGUGCUGAAUGUGUCUCCCAUGUUAUGUGUAUUUUACCACAAUAAAGACGAUGUUAAAAUUAGAUUUUUCCGAGUCUUCGUUAGCAGUCACUUCAUUGCUGCGGUUCCUCACUAAUUCUAAGCAUUCUGGUAGGUAUGUAUUACCUCACUGUGAGGUUAAUUUUUGUUUCACUAACAAUGAAGGAUGCUGAUUUUUUUGCUACCAAAUGUCAUUUUUAUUCUGAAAUGAUUUGAGAUUGACAUGCAGGUUGCAUAAGUGACACAGAGAGCUCUGAUGCACCCCUCAUUCUGUUUUCCCUAAUCUUAAAAAGCCACAGAACAAGGUAGAAACCAGGAAAUUAGUGUAGAUACAUAUGGCAGACUAAUUAUACAACAAAUUGAAUUUUACCCACUCCCCACUCGUUUGUUUUUCUGGUCCAGGAUCUAACCCCAGACAUCAGAUUGCACUAAUUGUCAAAUUUCCUCAACAGUUCUUUAAUCUUUCUUUGCCUCUGAAGACAUAUACUCUUUUGAUGAAUACCGUUCAGUUAUUUUUAAGAUGGGCCCUCAAUGCCUGUGUUAAUAAAAGUUUUAUGGAGAGAUACUUUGAGACUAAACCAAAGCCUGUUUCACCAUUACUUCAGUCAGUCAUUUCAAGAUCUUUUCUCACCUUAGCUUCAGCAACUAUUACUGCAGCAUUUACCUAAUGGUGGCUUCCUGUUUCCUUUAUUACUUCUACAUUUGCUCAUUAGAAUUUUACUGCAAGAAAGAGCAGUUCUUCCUCUUCCAUUUACUUGUUUGUAUCAAUGUUUACUUCAGAAUAUUUAUUUUACACAGUGGGUUAUAAUCCAAUACUACU